UACGGAGGUGGCAAGCGUUGCUCGGAAUCACUGGGCGUAAAGGGCGCGUAGGCGGGGAGGUAAGUCGGGUGUGAAAUCCCUCGGCCCAACCGAGGAACUGCGCCCGAGACUGCUUCUCUUGAGUCCCGGAGAGGAAGCUGGAAUUCCCGGUGUAGCGGUGAAAUGUGUAGAGAUCGGGAGGAACACCGGUGGCGAAGGCGGUCUUCUGGACGGUGACUGACGCUGAGGCGCGAAAGCGUGGGGAGCAAACGGG
rnacentral:rRNA from 1 species